AUCCAAAGGAAUGGCCUAUUAUUGAGCCAUUGCCUUCUUAUGGAAGAGGGAGAGAGAGGUUAGGAGGAAGGCACAUAAGCCUCAUUCAUGGGGAUGGUCUCACAGAUGUUGUCAUUACAGGUACUCGAUAAGAAUGGGGCUGCUCCAGCUAGAAGUGUUUUGUCGUGGAUUCUAAUUUAAAUUUGAAAGUAUGCUUAGUAGCAGCUGUGGUUGAUAAUCUGGCCAUUUUUUUGACUUCUAAUGAAGGUGCUGCAGUGUUGGCAUGGGUUGCUUUGGCUCAUCUUUGUUUUUAAACAAUCUUUGGCUGGUCUUAGAAUUGUGAUUGUUGGUUGGUUAUAGAUGAUGGGUUUCAUA
rnacentral:lncRNA from 1 species